GUUCAAUUGCCGGCGACCGGCGCACGGGUGAGUAACGCGUAUCCAACCUUCCGUACACUCAGGGAUAGCCUUUCGAAAGAAAGAUUAAUACCUGAUGGUAUCUUAAGCACACAUGUAAUUAAGAUUAAAGAUUUAUCGGUGUACGAUGGGGAUGCGUUCCAUUAGGUAGUAGGCGGGGUAACGGCCCACCUAGCCAACGAUGGAUAGGGGUUCUGAGAGGAAGGUCCCCCACAUUGGAACUGAGACACGGUCCAAACUCCUACGGGAGGCAGCAGUGAGGAAUAUUGGUCAAUGGACGAGAGUCUGAACCAGCCAAGUAGCGUGAAGGAUGAAGGUCCUACGGAUUGUAAACUUCUUUUAUAAGGGAAUAAACCCUCCCACGUGUGGGAGCUUGUAUGUACCUUAUGAAUAAGCAUCGGCUAACUCCGUG
rnacentral:rRNA from 1 species